CAUAGGACCAAAUGACUCUGCCUUGCCCAAUUUGAGCUCAAUUUGACACUCCAUGUGAGUGCACCUUCCUGAUCAAGUUUCUGGACCAGAUUAUGCAGUUGCAAAGCAAGUGCAUUAAAUCUUGGUCCAUUUCCUGCCAAACUCCCCAGUAUUGUAGUUCUUCCUAACCCAAACACCCCAGACAACUCAUUUGGCUCUAAUAUCACCUCGGUUGAGUACUGUUUCACGGCCAAGUUUAUUGCAGUAAAAUUCAGAGGUUGCUUACCGUUUAACCAGAGCACUUUUAACCUAACUACCACCUCAGUCGCAACCUACCCAUGAAGUACUAAACCCCAGACACCAUUUGGGCGACAGUGUGGCUCUGUGUGCACCAGUGCACGCGGUGACCACCGCUUUGGCACACACUGGCCGCGCCCGGAACGUCUUCUUGCUCGGGCCCCUCCUCUGCUCGGCGUCUCAGCGAGCACGGCAUGUCCCCUAGCUUCCUCUCGCCGUCGCCGUUCUCCUGGACCCCUCUCCCCCUCCGUCCGCUUCCUCACCGACGCAAGCCGCCGCGCGCCCACGGAUGAACAGUGACGGUUUUGGCUAGGAGCUCGCCGUCUUCUUCCUCCCUGCGCUCCCUUGGCCGUCUCUUCCCCGUGAGCUCUCCCUCCCGUUCCCUCUCGUCGCCUGCCUCCGAGCUCAUGCGCGCGCACACGCGUCCGCGGCGCCGGCCACGCGUCCGCGGCGACGACAGCUCGGCCUCCUCGCCCCCGCGGCUAUAUAAGCCCACCCCGAGGCCUCUGGACCUCACCAAGCUUCUUCCCUCCCUCCUAGCUACCUCCCCGACCAUUCACCCGAGCCGGAGAACCUCUCCUCGCCUCCCUCUGCCUCCAUGGCCGCCGCCCCCUCCGGCCUAAAUUCCGGCCAACCAUGCCCUCCCUCUCCUUCUUUCCACCUCCAUGAGCCCCACCAAACUCCGGCGGACCCUCCCAGUUCCUCUUUUCGUCAACGGAGCCACUGUGGCUGCGACCCCAAGACUUGGCCGCCGUCUCUGUCCUCGGACGCCGCGAACCCCGUCGCCUCGCUGCUCCUUCCCGGCCUUCAUGCGUGGUCUGAACGGGAGCGGGGCAUCUUCCUAGGCCUCCGGUGGCCUCCCCCUGGCCUGAGACGGCCGGAGCUGGCCAGGCCCCCGCCGAUGUCGCGCCCUCCCCUGGCUUCCUAUGCUUCUGGUCGGGGGGAGCGAGGAAGAGGACGACGACCUGGUCAGCCCCCCUGACCGCACCUGGCAGCGACCCAGGCGGCCGGUCCCGCCGCUGCGCGUUGACCUGGUCUGCCUAGCUGGAUAAGUGACGAGCCCCACAGCCCGUCGGACCCGCACGUCAGCGACCCAAGCCUCGGCCCCGCCUCUGAUGACGGCUCAGGGGCCUGUUUGUAGAAAUCUUUUUACAGAAUGGUCCCUGAACUUCGUCGGGCUAUAUCUUUUCGACCACAACUCCAAAUGAGUCCCCCUUCGAGAGAGAACAUUUUCCGGCGAUUCUUUCCGCGAGCUUCUCGCACAUCUUCACAAUGGUUCCUUCAUCCCCAGGCAAGCCACAAUACCCACUUGCAUGAUAGUCAUGCAAUAGCCA